ACGACCAUACCCAUUGGAAAACUCGGGAUCCCGUCCGCUCUCCCAUCGAUAAACCAGUGAGGGCAGUAGUAGUCGGGUCGGUGACGACCGGCGAAUGCCCGGUGUUGUAUGUA
rnacentral:rRNA from 1 species